rnacentral:lncRNA from 1 species
GGAAAGGCCUUAGUGAGGAGGCCAGACAUAUCAGGGAAAGUCACUGGUGAUGGGUGGGUGGGGUCAGAAAUAGCCACUUUUUCCCUCUUCAGACACCUGAGAAGAGGUGAUAACUUCCUAAACUCAGGCUGUAGGUCUCUCCAUCCCAGGCUCUAGGAUUGGGCUCAGAGCCUGGCCUUGAGGGAUACUUUCACUCAAGAUGUAUGUCUCAGGUACAACUCACGGCU